GUGAAUCAUCAAAUUUUUGGACGCAAAUUGCACUCUCUGGUAUUCCGGAGAGUAUGCCUGUUCGAGGGUCAGUUUAAUUCAAAAUCGAGGAGUUGCUGUUUUGUGACCCGUCGGAAUUGGGUUAUCUUUGACCUUUUACAAAGUUUAAGUGUCAUAAAAUUGAUACCUUGUGCUUCUCAGACGUACUUCAUAAUCUUUUUUUAUCCGUUCGGAGAUGCCA
rnacentral:misc_RNA from 1 species